rnacentral:lncRNA from 1 species
AGGUAUAUAGUAUGAAAGACCAGGUUGAUGGAGCCUCUCUCUUUUCAACUUCUGUUCUCUGCACCUACCCUUCUUUAGAAAACAAGCAUUUUCCCCAAGACACUCAGCAGCUUUUCUAUAGGCUUUAGUAAUGUCCUUCAAAUCUGGAAUGCAAGAAUUUGGAGAGGGGUAUAAUCUUUGGAGCUUGAAUAAAAAAGUGAUUUAAAAUUUUUAAUUCAGUUUUACAUUUGAUCAAUGAUCAAUUUUGUUACACUCUCCAAGUUAUGGAAUUGUUCUUUUUUGUUCUUUUAUUCUUUUUCCUUACACAAAGAUAACAAAUUGUUCCAUUACCAUUUAUGGAAAGAACUAUCCUUUCUCUAAUGAAUUGCCUUUGUACUUCUGUCAAAAUUCAAUUGACCAUAUAUCUGUGGAUCUGGACUAUUUGGACUUAACUAUUCUCUUCCAUUGAUCCAUUUGUCUAUCUUGAUAGAAAUACUGUGCUGUUUUGAUAACUACUGCUUUUUAAUAUGUCAUAAUAUCAGGUAGUACUAGCCCUCCACUUUCGUUCUUUUCCUUUUUUGGUUACUGUAGGCCCUUUGAAUUUCCAUAUGAAGUUUAGAAGUUGGAAAAAAAUUAAAAACAGAAGCUUGCUGGAAUGUUGAGAUUGUAUUCAAUCUACACAUCAAUUUGAAGAUAAGUAAUAUCUUAAUCAUAUUGCAUCUUCUUACCCAUAUAUAUGGUAUAUUUUUUCACAUAUUUAACUCUUAACUUUUCUCAGCAGUGUUUUACAGUUUUUAGUGUAAAGUCUUGCACAGCUUUUGACAGUGUUAUCCUUAAGAGUUUAAUUAUUUAAUGCUAUUAUAAGUGGAAUAGCAUUUUUUAUUCAAUUUCUGAUUGUUCUUUGCUCUUAUGUAGACAUAGAAGUGACUUUUGCACUUUGGUAUAGUAUUCAAAACUUUUCUAAACUCAUUUAUUAGCUCUCAUUAUUUUAAAGUAAAUUUCAUAGAAUUUUCUAUAUAAACAAUCAUAGCCAAUCUGCAAAUAAGUUGUUUUAUUUCUUCCUUUACAAUAUUUUUAAAAAUUAUUUUUAAAAGGACCUUUUUUUUUCUUUUAUUAUUUCAUUGACUGAACUCUCUCGUUCAAUGUUGAACAAAAGUAGUGAGAGUGGACAUUCUUGCCUUGUUUUCAGUCUAACAGAGAAAAUAUUCAGCGUGUCUUUCAUCAUUGAGUAUGAUGGUAAAUGUAAAUUGUUGGAUUUUUUUUUUUUUGUAAAAACCCUUUUCUUGAUGACGUUCCCUUAUAUUCCUAUCUUACUGUGAAUUUUUAUAAGGAAUCAUUUUGGAUUUUACUUUCUCUGCAUCUAUUGAGAUGAUCACACAUUUUUCAUUUUAAUUUGUUAACAUGGGUAAUUACAUUGAUUAGUUUCCUAGUGUUAAAUAAUCUUGCACUCAUGGGAUAAACCCAACUUGUUACAAAGUAUUAUUCUAUAAUUUUGGAUUCAAUUUGCUAAACCUUUGUUAAGCACCUUUGCAUUGGGUUUUAUGAAGGAAAUUGGUACACAAGAUUUUCUUUUCUUACAGUGUCUUUGGUUUUUAUAUUAGGAUAAUGCUCAUCUGCCUGGCUCAGUUGAAAAGUAUUCAUUCCCUCUAUAAUUCUCUUGAAGAAUUUUAUAAAAUUGGUAUUUUUUCCCUUCCUUUGCUAUUUGUUCAGAUUUUCCACGGAAUUUUUGAGCCUGGAGUUUUCUUUGUUGGAAGAUUUUAAGUUCUAAUUCUAUUCCUUUAACAGAAAAGGAUUAUUUUAAUAGUUGCAUCAGUGGUAUCCUGCAAAUUUUGAUGUUUUGUUUGCAUUUACAGUCAGUUUGGAAUACUUAAUAAUUUCCCUUUAAUUUCUUCUAUUAUCCAAGGACUAUAUCAGAAUGUGUAGUUUAGCUUCCAAAUAUUUGGGAAUUUUCUAGAUUUUUUUUUCUGUCAUUGAUAUCUCAUUUAUUUUCAUUGUGAUAAAAGAACAUACUUUACAGACUUAAAACCUUUAAAAGUUAUUUAGAUACAUUUUAUGGCUUAGAACAUUGUCUGUCUUGGAAAAUGUACCAUGUGUGCCUGAAAGAAUAGGUGUACAUAUUAUUGUUGGAUGUUCUGUAAGUGACAAUUAGGUCAAAUUAGCUGAGAGUGGAUCUGGGGUUGUGGCUCAGUGGUAGAGAGCUUGCCCACAAGUUCAAUUCUCAGCACUACAUAAAAAUAAAUAAAGGUGUUGUGCCCAUCUAUAACUAAAAAAAAUGUUAAAAAAAAACUAGCUGCGAGUGUUCUUCAUCCGUUGUAUACUUACUGAUUUUCUGUUAACACAGUUCAGUUAUUGAAAGAGUUUACAUACCAUUUUGCAUCAUGAUACCUUUUAAUGUUUAAUUAAUACUUCAUGAGAGAAGGAUGCUGUGACUGUCAUCUGGAAGAUGUAUUAUUGUUGAUGCAUGAGAGCAUCCUUCAUUAAUAGCAGCAGCAUAAAAACAAGUUAAAGAAGUUGUUCUAUAAAUUUAAAUCUUGAAAUGAAAAGUUUAAGUUUUUGACUGAUAUGCCAGUUGGCAGUUUCAAUCAGACCAAUCUACAAAAUGAUACACCAGGGCCCAAACUCUAAUGGUUGUGCUCGUAAUUUCAACUUACUUUUUUAUUUAGUUAUAGAGAACUUUCCUUGAAUAAAAUGUUACCAGGUGCUUAAAUAUGUAUAACCCACAAAAGUGUUUUAUCUGUUUAAAAGUGUUGAAGGCACAAAGGAUAGAGAUGGGCCAUCUUUACCUGGACUCCAACUGCUUAGCCUCAUUUGGGGUAUGAUUCUCUUUCUCUCAGAGACAACGCCGGAGGCACUUCAGCCAACGCCUAAGACACUGUGGAACGUUGAAUUCCACAGAUCUGCCUCAAUACUCUGAUAAACAGAAAGAUGAUCCCAAAUACUCACUGGAGUAGAAUGGUAAAUAGAUUUCAACUCUUGUGUCAACCAUAUGAAUUGGCAAACUGCCUAGAGAACUGUUUGAAAAUGUUUCUGAAGUAAAAAAAGAAUAUGCUGGGUGUGUAGUGCACAUCUGCAAUCCCCGUGACCCCAGCGGUUGAGGCAGGAGGGUCACAACUUCAAGGCCAGCCUGGGCAACUUAGUGAGACUCUGCUCAAAAUAAAAUAAUAAACAAAGUAUGGAGAUAUAGCUCAAUGGUAGAGUAUCCUUGGGCUCAAUCCCAGGUACCACAAAAAAAUAAAUAGAUAAAUAAAUAAAUAAAUGUAAUAAGAGAAUAUGUUCAAUCAUCAAUGUCAGGAAUUCCAAUGUCAUGCAUUUGGUAUUCCUGGUCUUGAGAAACAUGCCAAUCUGAUAUUCAAAUCUAGUUUCACAUGAUAUCUGCUGGAUUGAAUUAUAUGUUUGAUAAAUUAGGAAAACUAUGCAAUGGAGUUAGUGAGGCUUUUCCAAAUUGAAAUCAACUGAGAAUGCUUAGGUAACCACGUAGGAGACAGAUUUUUAUAAGGACACCUGGGAAAGAGGCUGUGCAGGAAACCGUCUCGGAGUUUCCCUGCAGGUGAGCUGGUGAGCUGGCCAGGGAACCCCAAACAGCCGACUGCUGCUCUCUCCUAGUGCUUUGCUGUUGUUUUGACUCAGCUUCUCUCUCCUUUUCUUUUACAGCUUCUGCCAUGAUAAAUUCUAGUUCUUUUUAUCUCAAGGCUUCUGCUUUCUUUCUUUAUGUCUCCCUGCUACUUUCUUCUCCAUACACCUCCAGUUCAAAUUCCCUACAGAGAAAGUCAACCUUCCAGAAUGGAGUGCCCCCUGGGGAAGAAUUUCCAUGCCAUGUUUCUGAAUCACCACUUGACAGCUCAUAGAAAGCUUCAUUAGAUCAGGUGCCCACCCCAAGUCCAAUCACCUGAGCUAAGGUGGCCGAACCACAAGGUACAGAGGAUGGAGAAGGGACACCUGUGUCUGAAGGGAUGCUGAUGAAUCCCAGCAGGGGGCAGUGUACCUGUCAGGCAUGGACAUGGCCUGUCCAUUACAGUGAUCUUCAACAGUAUAGUUAUAGUUGUACACUGACUGGACUUGCUUCCUAUUAAAUGGAGAGCAAUUUUCAUAUCACCAGCUAACAUUUUGGUUUUCAAACUGCUUGGCAAAAAGUCUUGAACUCUGCCCAGAAGAGAGACUCAGUAGUAUGUAGGACUCAAAGCUAGGUGAGUCCAUUUUCAACCAGAGCAGUUUCAUGUUAUUCACUUUUAUUAAUUGAAUUUUCAAAUAAAAUUUCACUUGAUGAUGACAUUCUACUAUUCAAAAAUAGUUUGAGUACCCCUGAGCCAGAGGAGCAGAAAAACUUUUGUUUGGAUAACUUUAAAAAAUUUAAAAAGUAGAGUCGUACACUUUUUAAAAGAGAAAUCAAAUAGUAAAAAUUAACAAGAUACACAAUGAAAUAUGAAAUAUAUUUUAACCAGUUUUCUGUAAGAAGAUUGGGGAAAGGUAAACAGGAAAGUCAAAUAAGAGUAUUUCACAACAUUAUAGUCUUCAUUACAAUUGCUUUAAUGUUUUAGAUGUUCUCAGGGAAAUUACUUAGCUGUGAUUGUUUAUAUAUGCUUAUUCAGUAGGAUCAAUAUUUUGAUAAGAAUGAUCAGAUCAUGGGCUGGAUUGUAGCUCAGUGGUAGAGCACUUGCCUAGCAUGUAUCAGGCCCUACAAAACUAACAAAACCCAAAAAACAAAAACAGUGAUCAGAUUAGAAAUUCAUAAGAGUUAAAACAACAUGUCAUUGGAGUUUAUGUUUGACUCUGUUCACAGACACAGAACACUGCCACUUCAGGGUACAAGUCAUAUUAAUUAGCUAUUUAUAAUGAACUGAUAGACUAAGUUGCAUCAUAGAAAUUGCUUGUGUCUUACAGGUUAGGUCAAUAUAUAAUUGUUUUUAUCAUAGGAACCAUAUUCAAUACACUCCAUCAUCUGCCAAGAACAGUUUUUGGAAACAGAAGACAUAUCAGACAUGGUGGUGCACACCUGUAAUCCCAGUGACUCGGGAGGCUGAGGCAGGAGGAUGGCAAGUUUGAGGCCAGCCCCAGCAAUUCAGUGAGGCCCUGUCUCAAAAUAAAAAAGGACUGGAAAUAUAGCUCAGUGAUAAAGCACCCCUGGGUUCAAUAGCCAGUACCAAAACAAACAAACAAACAAAAAUAAACACUGAGGACAUCAUGAUGGUAUUUACAAGCCUGAGUUAUUUUUGUAAUUGAGGAAACAUAUCCUUAUUCUAGCAGUUGGGCCAUCCCAAUAUCUACCAUCCAAUGAUAAUGUCAAGCCACCAUCACCGGCUGGCACAGCAAAUAAAACUAUGGAAACAUGUUGGGCAUUCCACUUCUAGGGCUAAGGAAAUCUACCCCUAAUCCAUCCUGAGAAUGCCCCCCAAGGUAUUCCUUGUUAGUGCCAGGACACUGGGCACUUUUCAGAGUCUACAUGUAUUCAUGAUUUAAGCAGAUAAUUGUUCUAGUAGUCUUAUUUCCCAGAAGACUUGUUAGAUUGAAAGUGUAAAAAUUUGCAGCUUAGCUGUAAAAACACCCAGAUGUGUACAUGGUGGUCCCUCAUCUCCUGGCUGAGAUUACUCCAGAGAAUUCUCACUGCUGAUAUCACUGAGCACAAAAGGGAGAGGGAAGGAUGUUGAAGGGAGUCACAUGGUGUGAGAGGUUUUCUUUCUUGUGUCUUUUAGAGUUUGAUCCAACAGCCUGAUUGGGCUGACAUGAUGUCAAGUUUUGGUUCCUAUUUGCAUUAAAAGGUGAGGCAAUUGGAGUGGAAGCAGAUGUUCGGGCAGUUAAAAAACUCUGCAAGGCAAGUCAUCAACAUCAAAGUCAACUAACAAUGGUGGAAACACUGUGAUAUUCCCACUUUUUUUUUUAAAUAAAUAGAACAAUAACUGGCUUCCAGUACUUAUAUUAAUAAGUAGUAAAAUGCCCCUUUCCUUUUCGUCAUCUCUCUAAUUUGCAUAUGGACAUCUAAACAAGUCGGUUGAGAUGGAACUUUGAUUUAUUUAAAUGGAUGUGCAUAAACAUAGUUAUAGGGGAGAAAAACACAAUAAAAACAUUAUGUUAAUUAAUUUUUAUGUUUAUGUGUACUUAAGCACUCUGGAGCUUUGAUCCUGUUUAACCAAACUAAAGACCCUGUUAUCAUUUGAAUAUGACUUAAUCCUCUGAAAUAAAUCAAUGUCUCAAUGCUAUGGAAGAAUUAAAUGACUUGCUCUUGGAUGUAUAAUUCGAGGCUUAAAUGCAGUCUUUAUGUUGUUAGGAAAGCAAUCCAUCACAUCCAGCAUUGUCUCUGUCAAGUCUUUAGGCCAAGGGGCAGGCUCCAUCCAUGGUGAAGUUAUGUUAGUGGUUGACUGAACAUCUAAGUCAAGUUCCAGAUGACCCUACUCUUAGCCCUGCUCAGCUACUUCAGACACUGUUGUCAGAAGGGACACCAGAGGGAAUGCUAUACAUGUUCUAUCCAAAUGCUUUGUGAUUACUGGAGUAAAAGCCAAACCCUGACUUUCUGUGGUUGGAGAGUCAUAGUCUCUUAAAGUAACAGUCUCCAGCAGCAUUACUACUAAAGAAUGCAAAUAUUGAUGCCCAAUUCCCCAUUUAUGGAUUUCCUUUUAUUUAUGUUACCAAUUCCCUGCUGAUAGGAAUUGGUUGUUUGCAGUUUAUUGCCACAAAUAAAAAAUGGGAAAUAAUGCCAUAAUUAAUGUUUGCUAUCCAUAACUAUAGAUCUAGGUGGAUUUCCAUGACUAUAUCUACAAAAUAAAUUCCAUACAAUGGACUUAGUUCUUCAAAGGAUAUUCACAAUUAUGAUUUUUAUAGACAAUGAAUUUACAUUCAAAUUUACACUUCUACCAGUAGGGUACAAGAACCUUUUUUCUUUAAUCAGUACUGAGUCCCACACAACUUUUUUGUUGUUGUCUUAUUUUGCCUUUUUUUUUUUUGCCAAGUUGGUAUAUAUGCAUAUAUAUCAUAUUUUGCUAUUUAAUAUAUAUACAUGUGGGUAUAUAUAUCAUUUUGUAAUUCAUUUCUUUUUUGUAAGCAUCUUUCAUAUCUCUAUGAGCUAUUUGAAUUUUCGUCCUCUAACAAUAUUUGCACUGCUGAUCAUAUAUCUUGUUCAUUUUUCUAUGAUUUGCUUGCUUUUCAGCUCAUUUCAAUGAGCUCUUUGUAAAGCAAGAAUAUCAAGUGUCCAUCUGUCAAAAGUUUUUAGUGGUUGAAAUAAAUUAUUUUCUUCCCUUUGUCUUAACAGAUGGAAUUCUUAAGCCCUCUUGUAUGAGGAAUUUCAGCCUGAUUCUAUUUAAAAACAAGAUAUAGGAAGUGGCAAGAGCCAAACUUUCACCUACUUUAAAGGACAAGUGAAUUGUAAGAAGGCAGCAUGAUGUACCCAAGGGACACUUGAAUGCUCAUCGUUGGGAAAAAAGCCAAACAUUCAUGCCUUUGAAAUCUGCAUAAAACUUGCAUGCCAGAACUCAAAAAGCUCACUCUUUCAAGUAGCUGUUUAAUAUCUUUCAAAAUGCUGAAUCUUCCAAAUUUUAAAUGAUGCUGCUCACAGAUUUUAAGGACCAUUUUGAGCAUCUAAGCACCAUUGUGAAAUAACACUGAGCAAAUCUUUAAGUUGGGAUCUGUCAGUGUAUCCUACAAGAUAAGUCCCAAUCCAGCCAGGGCAGUGUGUGCUAGAAAGGCUGAUAUGUAAAGGUUAGUGGAUUCCAGAUGUGCCUUUUUCAUUUUUUUGCCUUGUAAACUCAGAUGACUCCCUCAUGUGCCUUAUGGCUCAGUAUUUUCAUUUACAAAAUGAAAAUAAUAACUUUUCUAGCUAUCAAAUAGGUUGUUUUCCUCAUGAAAAGAAUUUAUGGUAAAGCCUUUUUUCUAAUCAUAUAGAACUUUCAAUUACUUUAAUUGUUAGGAACAAGACUUCUGUAGAUUAUUUUCAGCAAUAUCUUUUGGGUUCUCUGUUUUCCAACUUGUGAAAUGUUGUGAAGUACUUUUGACAAAAGCUAAUAUGAGAAUUUACUAUGAAAGAGGUGUAAACAUAUCCUUAAUUUCAUUUUAUCUCCUUUGUAUUUAAACAAUGUCACAUUUUGAUUAAACUUGCACAUUUUAGCUUCUUGUUAGGUCAUGUUCAAUGUGUAUCUUAAAAUAUAAGAAUGAACAGAAUUGGAAUCAACAAAUCCAAAACAAUCCUUUGCCCAAAAUGACAUAUGUACUAUGGGAAAUAAAAUAUUUAAGGUAUAUAAAGUAAGAUCUAAAAGAAUUUGACUAGAGAGAUUCUUAUGUGUUUCAAAUGUGUUUCUCUCCUAAUAUCUAAACAUUUGGGGAAAGUUUUUUUGUCUUUCAAAAGAGGAAUUGUUUUAAUGCUUAAAAUUCACAACAGUUAUAUAGUCCCCAAAUCCUCAUUGUUUUCUAAAGUUUACCUCAAAUCUGAGAGGCCUAAG